rnacentral:rRNA from 1 species
AUGAAGCCUUUCGGGGUGGAUUAGUGGCGAACGGGUGAGUAACACGUGGGCAAUCUGCCCUUCACUCUGGGACAAGCCCUGGAAACGGGGUCUAAUACCGGAUAACACUUCCUCCUGCAUGGGAGGGGGUUAAAAGCUCCGGCGGUGAAGGAUGAGCCCGCGGCCUAUCAGCUUGUUGGUGGGGUGAUGGCCUACCAAGGCGACGACGGGUAGCCGGCCUGAGAGGGCGACCGGCCACACUGGGACUGAGACACGGCCCAGACUCCUACGGGAGGCAGCAGUGGGGAAUAUUGCACAAUGGGCGAAAGCCUGAUGCAGCGACGCCGCGUGAGGGAUGACGGCCUUCGGGUUGUAAACCUCUUUCAGCAGGGAAGAAGCGCAAGUGACGGUACCUGCAGAAGAAGCACCGGCUAACUACGUGCCAGCAGCCGCGGUAAUACGUAGGGUGCGAGCGUUGUCCGGAAUUAUUGGGCGUAAAGAGCUCGUAGGCGGCUUGUCACGUCGGUUGUGAAAGCCCGGGGCUUAACCCCGGGUCUGCAGUCGAUACGGGCAGGCUAGAGUGUGGUAGGGGAGAUCGGAAUUCCUGGUGUAGCGGUGAAAUGCGCAGAUAUCAGGAGGAACACCGGUGGCGAAGGCGGAUCUCUGGGCCAUUACUGACGCUGAGGAGCGAAAGCGUGGGGAGCGAACAGGAUUAGAUACCCUGGUAGUCCACGCCGUAAACGUUGGGAACUAGGUGUUGGCGACAUUCCACGUCGUCGGUGCCGCAGCUAACGCAUUAAG